AACACUGUUAACCUGCGGUACCUGCGGAAGGAUCAUUAAAAAAUUUGCCCGAGACAUUCGUGUCCCAGGCCCCACACUGUGUGCACCAUUAUAUCGUUUCUUUGGCAGGGUCUUUGAGUCUUUUCUCUUCUGAAGGGGCCCAACUUCUCUCACGGCUCUAUCCCUUUUUUUCUUCGGGGGAAGAAGGGGACAGCAGAACAUAGGAAGCAAGUUACCCUGCCAAGUGACUCUAUAAACACG
rnacentral:misc_RNA from 1 species